CCUGCCCAGGCAGCCAUUGCCGUUGAUGCCCCCUCCGACAUCGAGCCCGCAGUCCCCCGAGCUUCUUCAAGAAGCCCUCCGACCGAGGUUUUCGCUCCAGAGUCUCGUCUCGAGGAGGCACCGGGGGCCGAAAGUAGGAGAAGGAAGAAGAUGUUGGCUCGCAAGAUCCACAGCAGUAGAGCUGCCAUCGAGGGGUCCAACGGCUCC
rnacentral:lncRNA from 1 species